rnacentral:piRNA from 1 species
UGAAACAUUAUUUCAGGAGACACAUAACAC